AUUGAACGCUGGCGGCAUGCUUUACACAUGCAAGUCGAACGGCAGCGCGGGCUUCGGCCUGGCGGCGAGUGGCGAACGGGUGAGUAAUGCAUCGGAACGUGCCCAGUAGUGGGGGAUAGCCCGGCGAAAGCCGGAUUAAUACCGCAUACGACCUGAGGGUGAAAGCGGGGGACCGAAAGGCCUCGCGCUAUUGGAGCGGCCGAUGUCGGAUUAGCUAGUUGGUGGGGUAAAGGCUUACCAAGGCGACGAUCCGUAGCUGGUCUGAGAGGACGACCAGCCACACUGGGACUGAGACACGGCCCAGACUCCUACGGGAGGCAGCAGUGGGGAAUUUUGGACAAAGGGGGCAACCCUGAUCCAGCCAUGCCGCGUGCGGGAAGAAGGCCUUCGGGUUGUAAACCGCUUUUGUUCGGGAAGAAAUCCUCUGGGCUAAUACCUCGGGGGGAUGACGGUACCGGAAGAAUAAGCACCGGCUGACUACGUG
rnacentral:rRNA from 1 species